GGAUUCGGGGGAGGAUUUCUUUUAUUUCUUUUUAUUUUCUGUAAUUCAGGCUAUAAAGAAGCCAAUACAAACGCUGUAAAAGAUACACAGUUUAAGAAAUAAAAAAAAACAAAAGAUUCAGAGAAAGAGAAUUCCAAAGGUAAAAAUCUGAAAGUUUGUCUGUUUUUUUCUUUUCAUUUUCUUUUUGAUUCAUUUUUUUUAUACAUAAGCAAAGCAA
rnacentral:lncRNA from 1 species